rnacentral:lncRNA from 1 species
CCUUCGGCGGCUGAAACCCCGCUCCAGAGCCGAAAGUCCGAACGUUCGGGGGCAAGCUUAGACAAGCUUAGGCAGCCGAAACCACCUCCUUAGCAUGUUCGGCGGCCGAACCCUCUUUCGGCGGUCGAAACUGGAUUUCCCAGUUAGGCAGAAACUUGUUCUGCUUCAUGUAAAACUCACCCAAACUUCACUCAACAUGCAACCCAAAACUCCACAACCUGCAUAUACUCAAGUAUAGGCACAAAGGGGUCCAAAACUAACUUAAAACCCCAACAAACAACACAACAUAACACAACUACAUGCUUUGACCAAAACUCAACUAGAAACCUCAACUUAACCUAAACAUGCAUAUCUACCCAAACAACUCCAUAAAACCUUCAUAAAACACAAGAGAAGCUAAGGAUCCACACUUACCUCUGAAAGAUCUUGAGGAUAGGUGAUCCUAAUGUGGAGAUAUGGAGAAUCAAGCUCUCAAAGUCUCCAAACUUCAAAACUUUGGUCUUUUGCUCAAAACCUUCAAACAAUCAUCAAAAUUGGUUCUGGUUCUGGUGGUGGCGGAGGUGCUGCUGUAUCUCUUGGUUCAGGGUGUGCUGAACUGGGAUGGAAAGGUGUAGGUGGAUACAUGGGAUAUGGUGGAUAAAAAGGAGGAUAAGGCAUAUAAGGCAUAUAGGUAGGAUAUGGGGUAAAACUGGAGUGAUCCGACGUACUCCCCAUCGGAUACCCUGGGCCCUGAGGAAAAGGUGGAUAAUGGGGUGGAUAACCAAACCCCGAGGCCUGAGCGCCUCCCUGGGAUUCUCCCAUACCCUCUUCCGACCUGCCCAUUCCCAUGCUUUCAUCUCUUGCCUGAUCAACAUCCAUAGCCUCCCUCACUUCAUCUGAGCUCCCUCCUCUUUCAACUCCCCUUCUGCUCUCGUCAAAAGACCUUCUAGGGUCCCUUGACGUACCCUCCCUGCUUGAUCUUUGCGACCUCGCCCUUAGCAACGCAGGAGGACGAGCAGCUGCACCCUCACUUUCUGGUGGGACUCUAGUCAAUCGUGCAGAUCGACGAGUUCCUCGCAUCUUAACUCUGAGAACACAACACAUACCAUGGCACAUCAGCAUAUAAAUAUCACAUAUCAACAAUGCACAUACAGAACCAUGGCAUUUCACAUCAUCAAAUAGACAGGACUCCACAUCCUAUCCUAGUGGACAUGAUUUCCUAUUGUGCUUGACCAACUAUAACCUCUAUGAGCCCGACACUCUCUCUAUAGGUCCGACCAUAGGAACCUAGGGCUCUGAUACCAAUCUGUAACGAUCCAAAAACCGGACCGCUACCGGCGCUAGGAUCCAGAUCGGCUUAAGGCCGCCGGGACCCGUAGCAAGCCUGCUAUAUUCUCUGUGUACCUGUAAAAUCUCAUACAUGAUCAGACAAACUCUGACAAACUGAAAUAAAUUCUGCUCUAUACCAAGGUUCAACCUGUGCAUGCACUAUCUCACAAAAAUCUGUGCACAGACCCCCCCUUUCUAGAGCCCUCAUCAAUGCUCUAGUUAGGUCCACACAAUACAUGUUAAACCUGGUUUUCAGUGUCAUCAACACAAUAUGUACAUAAACAGAUCAUGUAUACAAAAGAGAUUUACAAUACAAAUGGAUCAAGCACAAUUCUAACUCUAGACAAAGCUAUUACAUCUCUUUACAAUAUUACAUGUCCACACUAUACUAUUACACAACUCUUUACUUUUUCUGAACCCUGUUGAACUUCCCCUAUACUCUGGACCUGCAACACUGGGGUUAAGGGAGAGGGAUGAGCUAUACGAGCCCAGUGAGUAGAACAGUAAAACCAGUUAAUAAACAUGCUCACAUGAAAUGCAUCACAUCACAGAUAAAUCAUAUCAAGAAUGGUAUUGUCACCAAUAGCCCUCCAUAGGUCCAACUGUGCCAGGGGCGUAGAAUGGGCCUCGACCUAGACUUCCAUACCAUAUCAUAGCAUAUCAUAUCAUAUGAGGACUAAAGGAUCAUCCAAUAUCCAUUCACAUCAACAUCAUAAUAUGCAAUGCGACAUAUUCGUGAAAUCUAGUGCAAACAACCUAUUGCAUAGCAUGGUGCGUGAAAGAUGCUAAAAGCAUUUGAUUUCUCAAUUUAAAAGAUUAAAUUUAGUUCCACUCACCUCUGGCUGACUCUGAACUGACUCUGAAGCAGUGCUCACUGCAGAUCUCUUUGGUUCCUCUGGUCUAUGCCUACACAGAUGGACUCAAAUGAGGGACCAAACUAGCUCAAGAACAACUCUAUAAAACUCCUCAAAACCCCCUUAAAAGAUCCUAAAACAAUCACAUAAAGCAUGCAAAAGAAGGCUGGACAGGGCACUUUCGGCGGCAGGUUCGGCGGCCGAAAGUCCCUUCCAAAGAUGAAACUCAAGCACCUUCGGCGGCCAAACUUCACUUUCGGCAGCCGAACCCUUUCGGGGGCAAGGUUCGAGGGCUGAAAGACACUCCAGAGACGAAAGUCUCUAACCUUCGGCGGCACCUUCGGCGGCCGAAACCCCACUCCAGAGCCGAAAGUCCGAACGUUCGGGGGCAAGCUUAGACAAGCUUAGGCAGCCGAAACCACCUCCUUAGCAUGUUCGGCGGCCGAACCCUCUUUCGGCGGCCGAACCCUCUUUCGGCGGCCAAAACUGGAUUUCCCAGUUAGGCAGAAACUUGUUCUGCUUCAUGCAAAACUCACCCAAACUUCACUCAACAUGCAACCCAAAACUCCACAACCUGCAUAUACUCAAGUAUAGGCACAAAGGGGUCCAAAACUAACUUAAAACCCCAACAAACAACACAACACAACACAAAUACAUGCUUUGACCAAAACUCAACCAAAAACCUCAACUUAACCUAAACAUGC